rnacentral:rRNA from 1 species
AAGCAGCCACCCUUUAAAGAAAGCGUAAUAGCUCACUAGUCGAGUCGGCCUGCGCGGAAGAUGUAACGGGGCUAAAACUAUGUGCCGAAGCUGCGGAUUUGACAUUAGUCAAGUGGUAGGGGANNNNUGCGAAUGCUGACGUGAGUAACGACAAAACGGGUGAAAAACCCGUUCGCCGAAAGACCAAGGGUUCCAGUCCAACGUUAAUCGGGGCUGGGUGAGUCGACCCCUAAGGCGAGGCCGAAAGGCGUAGUCGAUGGGAAAAUGGUUAAUAUUCCAUUACUUCUGUGUAAUGCGAUGAGAGGACGGAGAAGGCUAAAUCAGCCUGGCGUUGGUUGUCCAGGUGAAAGGAUGUAGGCAUGUAUCUUAGGCAAAUCCGGGGUACUCUAUGCUGAGAUCUGAUAGCAAGCUGUACUUGUACAGCGAAGUGGUUGAUGCCAUGCUUCCAGGAAAAGUCUCUAAGCUUCAGUUACACAGGAAUCGUACCCGAAACCGACACAGGUGGUCAGGUCGAGUAGACCAAGGCGCUUGAGAGAACUCUGCUGAAGGAACUAGGCAAAAUGGUACCGUAACUUCGGGAGAAGGUACGCUGUUGUUGGUGAUGGAACUCGCUUCCUGAGCUGACGACAGCCGCAGAAACCAGGCCGCUGCAACUGUUUAUUAAAAACAUAGCACUCUGCAAACACGAAAGUGGACGUAUAGGGUGUGAUGCCUGCCCGGUGCUGGAAGGUUAAUUGAUGGGGUUAGCGUAAGCGAAGCUCUUGAUCGAAGCCCCAGUAAACGGCGGCCGUAACUAUAACGGUCCUAAGGUAGCGAAAUUCCUUGUCGGGUAAGUUCCGACCUGCACGAAUGGCAUAAUGAUGGCGGCGCUGUCUCCAGCAGAGGCUCAGUGAAAUCGAAAUCGCUGUGAAGAUGCAGUGUACCCGCGGCUAGACGGAAAGACCCCGUGAACCUUUACUGCAGCUUGACACUGAACUUUGACCUUACUUGUGUAGGAUAGGUGGGAGGCUUUGAAGCUGGAACGCUAGUUCCAGUGGAGCCGUCCUUGAAAUACCACCCUGGUAAUGUUGAGGUUCUAACUCUGUCCCGUGAUCCGGGACGAGGACCGUGUCUGGUGGGUAGUUUGACUGGGGCGGUCUCCUCCUAAAGAGUAACGGAGGAGUACGAAGGUGCGCUCAGCGUGGUCGGAAAUCACGCGUAGAGUAUAAAGGCAAAAGCGCGCUUAACUGCGAGACCCACAAGUCGAGCAGGUACGAAAGUAGGUCUUAGUGAUCCGGUGGUUCUGUAUGGAAGGGCCAUCGCUCAACGGAUAAAAGGUACUCUGGGGAUAACAGGCUGAUACCGCCCAAGAGUUCAUAUCGACGGCGGUGUUUGGCACCUCGAUGUCGGCUCAUCUCAUCCUGGGGCUGAAGCAGGUCCCAAGGGUAUGGCUGUUCGCCAUUUAAAGAGGUACGCGAGCUGGGUUUAGAACGUCGUGAGACAGUUCGGUCCCUAUCUACCGUGGGCGCUGGAAAUUUGAGAGGAUCUGCUCCUAGUACGAGAGGACCAGAGUGGACGAACCUCUGGUGUACCGGUUGUGACGCCAGUCGCAUCGCCGGGUAGCUAUGUUCGGAAGGGAUAACCGCUGAAAGCAUCUAAGCGGGAAGCCUACCUCAAGAUAAGAUUUCCCUAGGACUUUAUGUCCUCUAAAGAGCCGUUCGAGACUAGGACGUUGAUAGGUUGGAUGUGGAAGCAUAGUGAUAUGUGAAGCUGACCAAUACUAAUUGCUCGUGAGGCUUGACUAUACAACACCCAAGCAGUUG